rnacentral:misc_RNA from 1 species
UCCUCGUUUAAGCGAGGCAGUCUGUCCAGAGUGCUUCCUUCUCUCGAAGGAGUGGCAACACGGGGCGGGGGUUGCGCUCGUUGCGGGACUUAACCCAACAUCUCACGACACGAGCUGACGACAGCCAUGCAGCACCUGUGCAAGCUCCCCUUGCGGGGUCGUCCCACUUUCAUGGUUCUACCACUUGCAUGUCAAGGCCAGGUAAGGUUCUUCGCGUUGCAUCGAAUUAAGCCACAUACUCCACCGCUUGUGCAGGCCCCCGUCAAUUUCUUUGAGUUUUAAUCUUGCGACCGUACUUCCCAGGCGGCGCAUUUAUCGCGUUAGCUUCGCCACAAACGGGGUCGAUUCCGUUUACAGCAAAUGCGCACCGUUUACAGCUAGGACUAC